AUUGAACGCUGGCGGCAUGCUUUACACAUGCAAGUCGAACGGCAGCGCGGGCUUCGGCCUGGCGGCGAGUGGCGAACGGGUGAGUAAUGCAUCGGAACGUGCCCAGUAGUGGGGGAUAGCGCGGCGAAAGCCGGAUUAAUACCGCAUACGACCUGAGGGUGAAAGCGGGGGACCGAAAGGCCUCGUGCUAUUGGAGCGGCCGAUGUCGGAUUCGCUUGUUGGUGGGGUAAAGGCUUACCAAGGCGACGAUCCGUAGCUGGUCUGAGAGGACGACCCGCCACCCGGGCACUGAGACACGGCCCCGACUCCUGCGGGGGGCAGCAGUGGGGAAUUUUGGACAAUGGGGGCAACCCUGAUCCAGCCCUGCCGCGUGCGGGAAGAUGGCCUUCGGGUUGUUAACCGCUUUUGUUCGGGAAGAAAUCCUCUGGGCUAAUACCCCGGGGGGAUGACGGUACCGGAAGAAUAAGCACCGGCUAACUCCGUG
rnacentral:rRNA from 1 species